UUAAAGUAAAAAUUAUGUCGCGAAUAAUUAUGUUAAUCGAUUUGGAGGAAAGAGUUCGUGAUGAUAACGAUUUGUAGUAAAUUUAUAGGUUGAAUGCACUGAGACGCUCAUUACGCGUUGGACAAAAUCCUUUUGAAAUUACCAGCAACGAUCACUACCGUGUCCUGUGUUUUUUUGCCACCGAUAACUUCCAAAGAAGUGUGGGACAGGACAACUUAACUCUCUCUUAAUUGCUGCCCUUCCUGAUGGGAUAUAGUGCCUCGACAAAACGCUUCCAACGAUCGAGUAUUAGUCUCGCUGUCCAUCUACCGUACCGUUCAGAGUUCCAUCUUGCCUGCCAAAAUGUGAGCGUUUGAACUCUGAUAUCGGAGAAGCGCUCUCACAAGAAUAGUACGGAUCCAUCAACAUUUCAAGGAGAAAUGAUGAUUUUUUUCACUGUACUUUGGGUCACGUGAUUUUUUGCAUACUAAUUUUUGUAAAGAA